CAAACACUAAGUGCGAUCAAAUGUUGAUCGGCUUUCACAUAAUGUAGAGGAUCUUAGAGGAUUAUUCUCUGAUGGAAUAGGUAAUUACAAAAACAUCCUCGAGGACUGCUGUUAGUGAACCAGGGCCACAUAAGAUUCCUCCUAGGAUUAAGGAAAAUGUGAAAUACAGCAGUAUUCAGCAAGUGCCGCAUGAGAUUCCUCCUAGGAUUAAGGAAUAUGAGAAAUACAGCAAUAUUCAGCAAGGCAAACUCGUGUGGAUAUGCAAUUUCGAGCAAGCACCCAAAUCGUUAAAAGCCAUGAUAGAAAAUAUGUUUGCUCCAUGUAAACCAGCAUUCAAGAAACAGCAUCACAUGAUGGGGACUUAUCCGGGCAAAUCCUGCAAAUAUCAGAUAGAGUCUGAAUUAACAAAAACAGACAACACCGAUUGCUUCAUUUGCAUAGUUUCCUCGUACGGCAAUUAUUACAAUAUUUGCUAUGAAGGAAAACCGGAU